GACGAACGCUGGCGGCGUGCUUAACACAUGCAAGUCGAACGGAAAGGCCCUGCUUUUGUGGGGUGCUCGAGUGGCGAACGGGUGAGUAACACGUGAGUAACCUGCCCUUGACUUUGGGAUAACUUCAGGAAACUGGGGCUAAUACCGGAUAGGAGCUCCUGCUGCAUGGUGGGGGUUGGAAAGUUUCGGCGGUUGGGGAUGGACUCGCGGCUUAUCAGCUUGUUGGUGGGGUAGUGGCUUACCAAGGCUUUGACGAGUAGCCGGCCUGAGAGGGUGACCGGCCUCAUUGGGACUAAGAUACGGCCCAGACUCCUACGGGAGGCAGCAGUGGGGAAUAUUGCACAAUGGGAGGAAGCCUCGUGCAGCAACGCCGCGUGCGGGAUGACGGCCUUCGGGUUGUAAACCGCUUUCGCCUGUGACGAAGCGUGAGUGACGGUAAUGGGUAAAGAAGCACCGGCUAACUACGUG
rnacentral:rRNA from 1 species